rnacentral:tRNA from 1 species
GCCUGGGUGGCUCAGUCGGUUGAGCGUCCGACUUUGGCUCAGGUCAUGAUCUCACGGUCCGUGAGUUCGAGCCCCGCAUCGGGCU